UGCCAGCCGCCGCGGUAAGACGAACCGGACAAACGUUAUUCGGAAUUACUGGGCUUAAAGAGUGCGUAGGCGGCUUGGCAGGUUGGGUGUGAAAUCCCUCGGCUCAACCGAGGAACUGCGCUCAAAACCGCCAGGCUUGAGGGAGAUAGGGGUGAGCGGAACUGAUGGUGGAGCGGUGAAAUGCGUUGAUAUCAUCAGGAACACCGGUGGCGAAGGCGGCUCACUGGAUCUCUUCUGACGCUGAGGCACGAAAGCUAGGGGAGCGAACGGGAUUAGAUA
rnacentral:rRNA from 1 species